ACUGCUCAGUAACACGUCAAUAAUCUAACCUUAGAUCUGGAAUAACUUCGGGAAACUGAAGCUAAGACCGGAUGGGAUAAUUGUACUGGGAUGUCUUUUAUCUGAAAAGUAAUGUCUAAGGAUGAGUUGGCGGCGGAUUAGGUCGUUGGUGAGGUAAAGGCUCACCAAGCCGAAGAUCCGUACGGGCCUUGAGAGAGGUAGCCCGGAGAAGGACACUGAGAUACUGGUCCUAGCCCUACGGGGUGCAGCAGGCGCGAAACCUUUACAAUGCACGCAAGUGUGAUAAGGGGACCCUAAGUGCUUUACUUUUAGUAAGGCUUUUGCCAAGAGUAAAAAUCUUGGCGAAUAAAUGGUGGGUAAGACUGGUGCCAGCAGCCGCGGUAACACCAGCGCCAUGAGUGGCAAUCGUAAUUAUUGGGCCUAAAGCGUCCGUAGCCGGUUCAAGAAAUCUUUUGUGAAAUCGUUGCGCUCAACGUAACGCUGUGCAAAAGAUACUCUUGGACUUGAAACCGGAGAAGAGUCAGAGGUAUUCUGGGGGGAGCGGUAAAAUGCUAUAAUCCUCGGAGGACCACCUGUGGCGAAAGCGUCUGACUAGAACGGCUUUGACGGUGAGGGACGAAAGCCAGGGGAGCAAACCGGAUUAGAUACCCGAGUAGUCCUGGCCAUAAACUCUGCGAGCUAGGUGUUACACAUCCUUCGUGGAUGUGUGGUGUCGAAAUGAAGAUGUUAAGCUCGCCGCCUGGGAAGUAUGGUCGCAAGGCUGAAACUUAAAGGAAUUGGCGGGGGAG
rnacentral:rRNA from 1 species